UCUAUUGGGUACGCAUAAGCACUCUGGAUCAAGAAUACAUCGAACUUUUUCGAUCUGCUUCACCAGAAUCACACUUUGUGCACCCCGCUAUUUUCCCACUUUGAUUUUCCAUUUAUUUUAUUUGCUGAACCUCUCUAGUGCUUGGUUCUUCUGCUCCCACUCCUAUAAUCGUAUUGACCACUCUCAGGGUGAUUGUUGAUCACGCUGUGCCUCCAAAAUCGUUAAAAGCCUUUUGAUAUCGAUCAUCAGUGACCCAUUUUGUGGCGUUUAGUGUAAUUACAGAGCCUUCGUCCGUCCCUCGAAGCGAGGCCCGUGCUUCGCUCCCCACCUCCGCGUCUCGGCCUUCCAGCGCGCUGGGGUCGUCCCCACAUGCGCCCUCCAGGCGUCCGAUGAAAUUCCUCUGAGAGUGGAGCUGGGCUUUUGUUGUUUCGCUGGCGUUGGUUAGUGAUAAGAAGAGAUGGAGCAGUUCGAUGCUUCUGGUUCUGUUACUGUUUUGGUCGUCUGUCAUAACUCAUUCUUGCUGGACCCCGUGGAAUUGGCUUUGUGAUGCUUUUUCUUCUGAGGAACGCAUUUUGCAACUCUACUGUACUCUAAAGAUCCCAAGUCCCAUAGGUAAAGUUUAAUUCUCAAACAGGGUGAAAAUAAUGGCGAGUCUGAGAUUGUCAGGUAAAUGAAACUGCUAGCUUGAACUGCCCUCUUUUACUCCUUUCUCAGUAUCUGUCUCGGCAGGGCAUGUUCCCUGCAUAAAGAUGCUUCUUUCGGUAAUGCAUUAACAGGUUCUUAUUGGGUCUGUAUGCCAAAGGAUUGAUUAGUGAAUGCUGCCAAAGGGAGUGGCGAUGCCAUACAUGAAAUGGAAGAGGCUCAUAGUGCAUGGCAGAGAGGGUAUCAAGGGCAAGAUUGAACUGCCGGUAGACCAGAGAUGAGCUAAAGGUAGCUGUGAAGAAACAAAAAAGGAGGAGAGAGCGGAGUCUGCAGAAGGGAGAAAAAGAGAAACUGAGAGAGACGAGAGAGAGAGAUAGAGUGAAGGGAUCUGUACAGAAACGAGGAACAUAGCGAGGAAUCUCCAGACCGUUUGCCAUAUCUUCUGAGGAAACCUCUAGUGUUCCCUUUGGCUCCCUAAGUGAUGAUAUACCUCCUCCAUCUGGACAAAGCAAAAACAAUUUCAUGAUACACCAAAGUCCUCCUUUUGCAGUUUGGUGAAGGUAAUAAUGAGGGUAAUCUCUGCCAAUGGUUACUUGAGAUAUACUAUUUAUAAAUGUAAUAGGUUUAUCUAUGUAUGCAUUUGAAUAUAAUAUUGUCUAUCGAGGCAUACAUUCUGAUUGCAA